CAUGUAGUCACACUUUCCCCUCCCUUUGCAGGAAACCCCACUGCCGCCACCACCUCUGCUCCCCCACCCACCGUGCGGACAUUUCAUCAGCCCACAUGUGGAUAAAGAACCUGCUGGAUUUCCUCUUGACCUACCCUGAUGCACUUUACUCAUUCUACUGCAAGGGCCACGAGGGAAGGGGACCAUGUUUAUUCAACGGUCUUCAUACCCAGCGCCUAGCACAGUGCCUGGCUCACAGAAGAUCAUCUCUGGGGGAUAAGAGAAGAGAGAAUCAAUUAUUUCCAAAGACUGAUUUCUCCAAAUAAAGGCAUCUAUUCCAUGCUGGCAACUUUCACGUGAAAGAAAAAUGGAACUUAGAAAAGUGUCUGCGUUCAUGGUAGAUGGUCACACAUCGCAGAAAGGAGGUCUACAAUUGUCCUGCGGCAGACAUGGUCUGGUUGCUGCCACUCCUUAUCAGCUAACAUCUCUCUCUCUCUCUCCUUCUUCCCCCUCUUUUCUGCCUACCACGCCCCCCCACCCUGCCUCAGAAACUUAAAAUAACUGUGGUAUUUUUGGGGGCUCCUGGGUGGCUCAGUUGGUUAAGCGACUGCCUUCGGCUCAGGUCAUGAUCCUGGAGUCCCGGGAUCGAGUCCCGCAUCGGGCUCCCUGCUCAGCAGGGAGUCUGCUUCUCCCUCUGGCCCUCCCCCCUCUCAUGCGCUCACUCUCUCUCUCUCUCUCAUUCUC